AUUGAACGCUAGCGGGAUGCUUUACACAUGCAAGUCGAACGAGUGGCGGACGGGUGAGUAAUAUAACGGAACGUGCCCAGUAGCUGGGGAUAACUACUCGAAACUGUGGCUAAUACCGCCUACUAUAGGCUUGGCCGAUAUCGGAUUAGCUAGUUGGUGGGGUAAAGGCUCACCAAGGCGACGAUCCGUAGCUGGUUUGAGAGGACGACCAGCCACACUGGGACUGAGACACGGCCCAGACUCCUACGGGAGGCAGCAGUGGGGAAUUUUGGACAAUGGGGGAAAGCCUGAUCCAGCCAUCCCGCGUGUAUGAGAAGGCCUUCGGGUUGUAAAGUACUUUUGGUAGAGAAGCGGUAUCUGCAGAAUAAGCACCGGCUAACUACGUGCCAGCCGCCGCGGUAAUUC
rnacentral:rRNA from 1 species